AGCUAUGGGUCAAGUCCGAUAUCUUUAGGAGAAGUCUUAGGGUGAGGGCGAGUUAUAUAACACCAUAGGACUGGCCGUCCCAUAUGAAAAGAUUAUAUUAGAAUUGAAUGAAGCUUUGUUUAUAUAUUGAUAAUGACAGUAUAUAUAUCGUGUCUUGACUAAUUGCGUGCCAGCAGUCGCGGUAAUACGUAAGAGACUAGUGUUAUUCAUCUUAAUUAGGUUUAAAGGGUACCCAGACGGUCAAUAUAGCUUAUAAAAUGUUAGUACUUGACUAGAGUUUUAUGUAAGAGGGCAGUACUUGAGGAGGAGAGAUGAAAUUUCGUGAUACCAAAGGGACUCUGUAAAGGCGAAGGCAGCCCUCUAUGUAAAAACUGACGUUGAAGGACGAAGGCACAGAGAACAAACAGGAUUAGAUACCCAAGUAGUCUUUGCAGUAAAUGAUGAAUGCCAUAGGUUAGAUUGAUCAAUUAUAGUCUAGGGUUAGUCUAGCAAACUAAUGCCCUAUGAUAUAAUUCAAAAUAUCUGGUCUAUAAAUGAAAGUGUAAGCAUUUCACCUCAAGAGA
rnacentral:rRNA from 1 species